GCAUUAAUGGGGUAGUGGUAACCUGGGUCGUUGCCAAGAAAUUCUUGACAAUUUCUUAAUUCGACCCGCCGGGAGUUCAAUUCUCCCUUAAUGCA